rnacentral:rRNA from 1 species
GACGAACGCUGGCGGCGUGCUUAACACAUGCAAGUCGAACGGAAAGGCCCUGCUUUUGUGGUGUGCUCGAGUGGCGAACGGGUGAGUAACACGUGAGUAACCUGCCCUUGACUUUGGGAUAACUUCAGGAAACUGGGGCUAAUACCGGAUAGGAGCUCCUGCUGCAUGGUGGGGGUUGGAAAGUUUCGGCGGUUGGGGAUGGACUCGCGGCUUAUCAGCUUGUUGGUGGGGUAGUGGCUUACCAAGGCUUUGACGGGUAGCCGGCCUGAGAGGGUGACCGGCAACAUUGGGACGGAGAUACGGCCCAGACUCCUACGGGAGGCAGCAGUGGGGAAUAUUGCAAAAUGGGCGGAAGCCUGAUGCAGCAACGCCGCGUGCGGGAUGACGGCCUUCGGGUUGUAAACCGCUUUCGCCUGUGACGAAGCGUGAGUGACGGUAAUGGGUAAAGAAGCACCGGCUAACUACGUG